rnacentral:rRNA from 1 species
UUGAACGCUGGCGGCAUGCCUUACACAUGCAAGUCGAACGGUAACAGGUCUUCGGAUGCUGACGAGUGGCGAACGGGUGAGUAAUACAUCGGAACGUGCCUAGUAGUGGGGGAUAACUACUCGAAAGAGUAGCUAAUACCGCAUGAGAUCUACGGAUGAAAGCAGGGGACCUUCGGGCCUUGUGCUACUAGAGCGGCCGAUGGCAGAUUAGGUAGUUGGUGGGAUAAAAGCUUACCAAGCCGACGAUCUGUAGCUGGUCUGAGAGGACGACCAGCCACGCUGGGACUGAGACACGGCCCAGACUCCUACGGGAGGCAGCAGUGGGGAAUUUUGGACAAUGGGCGAAAGCCUGAUCCAGCAAUGCCGUGUGCAGGAUGAAGGCCUUCGGGUUGUAAACUGCUUUUGUACGGAACGAAAAAGCUCCUUCUAAUACAGGGGGCCCAUGACGGUACCGUAAGAAUAAGCACCGGCUAACUACGUGCCAGCAGCCGCAGUAA